UUACUGCAGUAACAAAUUCUCAUAAGAAAUCAACAAGUGCAAACAAAGUCAUGAAUACAAGCUCAAUAAACAGAAUUGUAACCAAAUCACAAAAUAUCACAGAAAAGGAGCUAUCAAGCAUACAAAAUCCUAACAGGUCAUCAUCAUCUUCCUACUCAAAGUCCCUUCAGAAUAAUGAGAAAGAGAAGAGGAAAAGAAACUUUCUGAAAAUUCAGAAUCAGAAAGAUAUUAUCUAG